rnacentral:snoRNA from 1 species
UGAAUGAUGUUGUAUCAACCUCCUGAUUCUGAGUUCGCUUUGAGGAGCCUCUUUUCUGAU